rnacentral:rRNA from 1 species
UACGUAGGGGGCUAGCGUUGUCCGGAAUCAUUGGGCGUAAAGCGCGUGUAGGCGGCCCGGUAAGUCCGCUGUGAAAGUCGGGGGCUCAACCCUCGGAUGCCGGUGGAUACUGUCGGGCUCGAGUACGGAAGAGGCGAGUGGAAUUCCUAGUGUAGAGGUGAAAUUCGUAGAUAUUAGGAAGAACACCAGUGGCGAAGGCGGCUCACUGGCCCGGUACUGACGCUGAGGCGCGAAAGCGUGGGGAGCAAACAGG